rnacentral:rRNA from 1 species
UUUUCCUACGGGAGGCAGCAGUGAGGAAUAUUGGUCAAUGGGCGCGAGCCUGAACCAGCCAAGUAGCGUGAAGGAAGACGGCCCUAUGGGUUGUAAACCUCUUUUGUCGGAGAACAAAACCCGGGACGUGUCCCGGACUGCGUGUAUCCGAAGAAAAAGCAUCGGCUAACUCCGUGCCAGCAGCCGCGGUAAUACGGAGGAUGCGAGCGUUAUCCGGAUUUAUUGGGUUUAAAGGGUGCGUAGGCGGUCCGUUAAGUCAGCGGUAAAAUUGCGGGGCUCAACCCCGUCGAGCCGUUGAAACUGGC